rnacentral:rRNA from 1 species
CACGUAGGUGGUUUGGUAAGUCGGAUGUGAAAUCCCCGGGCUUAACCUGGGAAUGGCAUUCGAUACUGUCGGACUAGAGUCUGGUAGAGGGUGGUGGAAUUCCAGGUGUAGCGGUGAAAUGCGUAGAUAUCUGGAGGAACAUCAGUGGCGAAGGCGGCCACCUGGACCGAGACUGACACUGAGGUGCGAAAGCGUGGGUAGCAAACA